AGUGAGAACAUUAAUGAGAAACGGCCAUUGAACUGAUUC
rnacentral:sRNA from 1 species